GAGUUUGAUCCUGGCUCAGGACGAACGCUGGCGGCGUGCUUAAUACAUGCAAGUCGAACGGGGUCCAUCCGGGGGUAACCCUGGUGAAGACCUAGUGGCGAACGGGUGAGUAACACGUGAGCAACCUGCCCCGAAGACCGGGAUAACACCGGGAAACUGGUGCUAAUACUGGAUGCCCCCACCGGGCCGCAUGACCCGGUGAGGAAAUGAAUUUCGCUUCGGGAGGGGCUCGCGGGCUAUCAGCUUGUUGGUGGGGUAACGGCCUACCAAGGCGACGACGGCUAGCUAGUCUGAGAGGACGACCAGCCACACUGGGACUGAGACACGGCCCAGACUCCUACGGGAGGCAGCAGUAGGGAAUCUUGCGCAAUGGGCGAAAGCCUGACGCAGCAACGCCGCGUGGGGGAUGAAGGCUCUCGGGUUGUAAACCCCUAUCAGCAGGGACGAAAUUGACGGUACCUGCAGAAAAAGCCCCGGCCAACUACGUGCCAGCAGCCGCGGUAAUACGUAGGGGGCGAGCGUUGUCCGGAUUCAUUGGGCGUAAAGAGCUCGUAGGCGGCUUGGCAAGUCGGAUGUGAAAACUCCAGGCUCAACCUGGAGCCGCCAUUCGAUACUGCCAUGGCUAGAGUCCGGUAGGGGAGUGUGGAAUUCCCGGUGUAGCGGUGAAAUGCGCAGAUAUCGGGAGGAACACCGAUGGCGAAGGCAGCACUCUGGGCCGGUACUGACGCUGAGGAGCGAAAGCGUGGGGGAGCGGACAGGAUUAGAUACCCUGGUAGUCCACGCCGUAAACGUUGGGCACUAGGUGUGGGGCCUUAUCAACGGGUUCCGUGCCGCAGCUAACGCAAUAAGUGCCCCGCCUGGGGAGUACGGCCGCAAGGCUAAAACCCAAAGGAAUUGACGGGGGCCCGCACAAGCGGCGGAGCAUGUGGCUUAAUUCGAUGCGACGCGAGAACCUUACCUGGGCUGAACUACGCGGGAAAAGCCGUACAGAUACGGUGUCGUAAGGGUCCGCGAUAGUGGUGCAUGGCUGUCGUCA
rnacentral:rRNA from 1 species